GACCGGCAACGUCCUUUCAUCUGAGAGUUGUCAAACUUGGUCAUUUAGAGGAAGUAAAGGUCGUAACAAGGUUUCCGUAGGUGAACCUGCGGAAGGAUCAUUA
rnacentral:rRNA from 1 species